rnacentral:rRNA from 1 species
UACGAAGGGUGCAAACGUUGCUCGGAAUUAUUGGGCGUAAAGCGCACGUAGGCGGCUUAGCAAGUCGAAUGUGAAAUCCCUCGGCUCAACCAAGGAAGUGCAUCCGAAACUGCUGAGCUUGAGUACUUAAGAGGAUCGCGGAAUUCCCGGUGUAGAGGUGAAAUUCGUAGAUAUCGGGAGGAACACCAGUGGCGAAGGCGGCGACCUGGUCCAUUACUGACGCUGAGGCGCGACAGCGUGGGGAGCAAACAGG